CCACGCAUAUGUUUCUGUCUUCAGGUAACAACUAUGUUCAGAAUGACACAGGAGAGAAAGUGGAAGUGAUAUAUGAAAAAAUGUCCAAAUCAAAACAUAAUGGAAUAGAUCCUGAGUGUAUGCAGGGGUACGUAGCUGGUUAAACCGAGUGUGGUCAUUGGUCGGAGCACUUGUUAAAGAACCUGAGAUUACAAAUACAGAGGAACCUGUCACUGAAGAACAUAUUUCUGAAUGGGACAGGAAAAUUAGGGCUGCUAGAAAUCACUACUUGAUAGAGGUAGUUUAAGUGUUGGACAUGCUUUCAAAGGUCAGAGGGACAGAAAUACGUGAUAAUGUAAAAAGAAACAUGGGAAAUGAAAAUGAUAUAACAAACGCCAUUGGACAUUUACAUAUCCUCCAGACAGACGAGGGGUGGUGAGAGAAGGUCAUAUAUCUAAAAGCAUCACACCUCCAAAUUCGUGCUAAUAUUCAUGGAUAUUUAAAAGUAUAACUUUGUGAAGUAACUAAAAGGAAGUAAAUUAUACGUUAGUGACAAUUAUCAAAAGGAGGUCAAAAUAUGCAAAAUAGCACUAAAUAUUUUAGUAAUGCUGUAGAAAUAUAGUUAAAAUACUGAAAAUCUGUCAUUA